GUGCUUAACACAUGCAAGUCGAGCGAAUUCCAGCAGAGCACCGCUGGAGUUAGCGGCAGACGGGUGAGUAAUGCUUGGGCAAUCUGCCCUUGAGUGGGAGACAACCUGCCGAAAGGCGGGCUAAUACCCCAUAAGACCACAGGGUCGCAUGACCUAGGGGUCAAAGCUCCGCAAGGGGCGCUUGAGGAGGAGCCCGAGUCCUAUCAUGGUAGUUGGUGAGGUAACGGCUCACCAAGCCUUUGACGGGUAGCCGGCCUGAAAGGGUGAACGGCCACACUGGCACUGAGACACGGGCCAG
rnacentral:rRNA from 1 species